rnacentral:tRNA from 1 species
CGAGGUAUAGCUUAACACUAAAGCAUCUGGCUUACACCCAGAAAAUCUCAAGAUCACUUGACUGCCUUGA